CUGAGAAGCGAAAGCAUGGGGAGCGAACAGGAUUAGAUACCCUGGUAGUCCAUGCCGUAAACGUUGGGAACUAGGUGUGGGUCUCAUUCCACGAGAUCCGUGCCGCAGCUAACGCAUUAAGUUCCCCGCCUGGGGAGUACGGCCGCAAGGCUAAAACUCAAAGGAAUUGACGGGGGCCCGCACAAGCGGCGGAGCAUGCGGAUUAAUUCGAUGCAACGCGAAGAACCUUACCAAGGCUUGACAUGUACCGGAAACGUGCAGAGAUGUGCGCCCCGCAAGGUCGGUACACAGGUGGUGCAUGGUUGUCGUCAGCUCGUGUCGUGAGAUGUUGGGUUAAGUCCCGCAACGAGCGCAACCCUCGUUCUAUGUUGCCAGCACGUGAUGGUGGGGACUCAUAGGAGACUGCCGGGGUCAACUCGGAGGAAGGUGGGGAUGACGUCAAAUCAUCAUGCCCCUUAUGUCUUGGGCUUCACGCAUGCUACAAUGGCCAGUACAAAGGGCUGCGAAACCGCGAGGUGGAGCGAAUCCCCAAAAACUGUCUCCAGUUCGG
rnacentral:rRNA from 1 species